AUUGAACGCUGGCGGCAGGCCUAACACAUGCAAGUCGAACGAGUGGCGGACGGGUGAGCAAUGUCUGGGACACUGCCUGAUGGAGGGGGCUCACUACUGGAAACGGUAGCUAAUACCGCAUACCAUCGGAUGUGCCCAGAUGGGAUUGGCUAGUCGGUGGGGUAAAGGCUCACGUAGGCGACGAUCCCUAGCUGGUCUGCGAGGAUGACCAGCCACACUGGAACGGAGACACGGUCAAGACUCCUACGGGAGGAAGCAGGGGGGAAUAUUGCACAAUGGGGUCAGGCCGGAUGCAGCCAGGCGGGGUGGAUGAAGAAGGCCUUGGGGUUGUAAAGUACUUUCAGCGGGGAGGCGUUACCCGCAGAAUAAGCACCGGCUAACUCCGUGCCAGCAGCCGCGGUAAUAC
rnacentral:rRNA from 1 species